rnacentral:tRNA from 1 species
AGAGGGUUGUCAGAAUGGUUAUUGAGCCUCUUUGCUAAAGAGGUGGGCGUAACAGCUUUGCAGGUUCGAGUCCUGCACCCUCUG